rnacentral:misc_RNA from 1 species
CGAAAUCUUUGCUCAUACUGUUUUGGUUGGGUUGGCCGUUACAAAUAUUAUCCGGUUCUUGUCCUUAGUUCUGUGAUUUAGCAAAUCUAACAUUUGUUCUGCAACUAGAAUGACUGCUGUGUCAGAAUCAAGACAGGACGUGGAGCAAUGGUUUAGUUUGAAUGAUUGCACAUGCCUGAAGAAAACCAGAAAUCAGAAACUGAUAUCAAAUCAAGGC